CCUUCCUCCCCCUUCCUCCCCACGAGCUGCUGAUCCUCCUUAGCUCCAUGGCCGGCCAUGGCCAUGGAAAGCCACCAAGAUGGAGCUCCCCUCCUCCCUCAAGCUUCUCCUCACCAUGAGAGCAUCUCUCUCCCUCACUUCUCCCCUAAUCUUUGAUGAGUCCAGCUCACUUUCUCCUUUCUCCUCUCACUAGAUUGGAUCUUGAUGCAGGUGCAUGUUGGUCCAAGCAUGGAGAAGGUUGAGCUAUCCUCAGAUCUGAAGUUCUUGAGCAAAAUCCAAAUCGAGUGAUUCAAAGUUCCAAAGAUAGGUACUGGAAAGAUCUACAACUUGGCGUUGGUCUCAUCCUCAAAUUCGUUACGGAUUUUGCAUGAUUCGAACAUUAUCGGGUUUGAAGGAGAGGAAGGAUUUGAAGAAUUUGAAGAAGUCCAGGGACAAAUAAGCCAACCAAG